GACGAACGCUGGCGGCGUGCCUAAUACAUGCAAGUAGAACGCUGAAGGAGGAGCUUGCUUCUCUGGAUGAGUUGCGAACGGGUGAGUAACGCGUAGGUAACCUGCCUGGUAGCGGGGGAUAACUAUUGGAAACGAUAGCUAAUACCGCAUAAGAGUAGAUGUUGCAUGACAUUUGCUUAAAAGGUGCAAUUGCAUCACUACCAGAUGGACCUGCGUUGUAUUAGCUAGUUGGUGAGGUAACGGCUCACCAAGGCGACGAUACAUAGCCGACCUGAGAGGGUGAUCGGCCACACUGGGACUGGGACACGGCCCAGACUCCUACGGGAGGCAGCAGUAGGGAAUCUUCGGCAAUGGACGGAAGGCUGACCGAGCAACGCCGCGUGAGUGAAGAAGGUUUUCGGAUCGUAAAGCUCUGUUGUAAGAGAAGAACGAGUGUGAGAGUGGAAAGUUCACACUGUGACGGUAUCUUACCAGAAAGGGACGGCUAACUACGUG
rnacentral:rRNA from 1 species